rnacentral:rRNA from 1 species
CGAACGGGUGAGUAACGCGUGAGGAACCUGCCUCAAAGAGGGGGACAACAGUUGGAAACGACUGCUAAUACCGCAUAAGCCCACGGCUCGGCAUCGAGCAGAGGGAAAAGGAGUGAUCCGCUUUGAGAUGGCCUCGCGUCCGAUUAGCUGGUUGGUGAGGUAACGGCCCACCAAGGCGACGAUCGGUAGCCGGACUGAGAGGUUGAACGGCCACAUUGGGACUGAGACACGGCCCAGACUCCUACGGGAGGCAGCAUG